rfam:Filifactor alocis ATCC 35896, complete genome.
AUGUUUCUUCAGGGCAGGGUGUAAUUCCCGACCGGCGGUAUAGUCCGCGAGUUUUGAAUAAAAACUGAACCUGUGCAAUUCGGGUACCGACAGUAGAGUCUGGAUGGGAGAAGAUUUCU